AACAUCGCCUCUUGUCACUAUAAGAGGUCCAGCCUGCCCAGUGACUUAAAUUUAACGGCCGCGGUACCCUAACCGUGCGAAGGUAGCAUAAUCACUUGUUUCUUAAAUAGAGACUAGUAUCAACGGCAUCACGAAGACUACACUGUCUCCUCCCUAAAAUCAAUGAAACUGAUCUCCUCGUGAAGAAGCGAGGAUACAAAUAUAAGACGAGAAGACCCCAUGGAGCUUUAAACGGACUUCAAUUGCUCCCUCCCUUAUCAUAGAAAUUGAGCACUAAUGAUAGACAGUUUUCGGUUGGGGUGACCACGGAGUAAAACAAAACCUCCACAAUGAAUACAAUAAAAGAAUUACAAUUCUAACAAUCAAUAAAUUGACAUAAUUGACCCAAACACUUGAUCAAUGAACCAAGUUACCCUGGGGAUAACAGCGCAAUCCAUUUUAAGAGCCCUUAUCGACAAAUGGGUUUACGACCUCGAUGUUGGAUCAGGGUAUCCUAGUGGUGCAGUCGCUACUGAUGGUUCGUUUGUUCAACGAUUAAAACCCUACGUGAU
rnacentral:rRNA from 1 species